UACGUAGGGGGCAAGCGUUGUCCGGAUUUAUUGGGCGUAAAGAGCGUGUAGGCGGCCAGGUAGGUCUGCUGUGAAAACUCGAGGCUUAACCUCGAGCUGUCGGCGGAAACCAUCUGGCUAGAGUCCGGAAGAGGAGAAUGGAAUUCCCGGUGUAGCGGUGAAAUGCGCAGAUAUCGGGAAGAACACCCGUGGCGAAGGCGGUCU
rnacentral:rRNA from 1 species